rnacentral:rRNA from 1 species
AGAGUUUGAUCCUGGCUCAGGAUGAACCUUGGCGGGGUGCCUAAUACAUGCAAGUCGUACGCACUGGCCCAACUGAUUGAUGGUGCUUGCACCUGAUUGACGUUGGAUCACCAGUGAGUGGCGGACGGGUGAGUAACACGUAGGUAACCUGCCCCGGAGCGGGGGAUAACAUUUGGAAACAGAUGCUAAUACCGCAUAACAACAAAAGCCACAUGGCUUUUGUUUGAAAGAUGGCUUUGGCUAUCACUCUGGGAUGGACCUGCGGUGCAUUAGCUAGUUGGUAAGGUAACGGCUUACCAAGGCGAUGAUGCAUAGCCGAGUUGAGAGACUGAUCGGCCACAAUGGAACUGAGACACGGUCCAUACUCCUACGGGAGGCAGCAGUAGGGAAUCUUCCACAAUGGGCGCAAGCCUGAUGGAGCAACACCGCGUGAGUGAAGAAGGGUUUCGGCUCGUAAAGCUCUGUUGUUGGAGAAGAACGUGCGUGAGAGUAACUGUUCACGCAGUGACGGUAUCCAACCAGAAAGUCACGGCUAACUACGUGCCAGCAGCCGCGGUAAUACGUAGGUGGCAAGCGUUAUCCGGAUUUAUUGGGCGUAAAGCGAGCGCAGGCGGUUGCUUAGGUCUGAUGUGAAAGCCUUCGGCUUAACCGAAGAAGUGCAUCGGAAACCGGGCGACUUGAGUGCAGAAGAGGACAGUGGAACUCCAUGUGUAGCGGUGGAAUGCGUAGAUAUAUGGAAGAACACCAGUGGCGAAGGCGGCUGUCUGGUCUGCAACUGACGCUGAGGCUCGAAAGCAUGGGUAGCGAACAAGAGUAGAUACCCUGGUAGUCCAUGCCGUAAACGAUCCUCGAUGGGUGUUGGAGGGGUUUUCCGCCCUUCAGCGCCGGAGCUAACGCAAUAAGCAUUCCUCCUGGGGAGUAGGACUGCGAAGGUUGAAACUCAAAGAAAAUGACGGGGGCCCGCACAACCGGUGGAGCAUGUGGUUUAAUUCGAAGGUACGCGAAGAACCUUAUCAGGUCUCGACAUCUUGCGCUAACCUUAGAGAUAAGGCGUUCCCUUCGGGGACGCAAUGACAGGUGGUGCAUGGUCGUCGUCAGCUCGUGUCGUGAGAUGUUGGGUUAAGUCCCGCAACGAGCGCAACCCUUGUUACUAGUUGCCAGCAUUAAGUUGGGCACUCUAGUGAGACUGCCGGUGACAAACCGGAGGAAGGUGGGGACGACGUCAGAUCAUCAUGCCCCUUAUGACCUGGGCUACACACGUGCUACAAUGGACGGUACAACGAGUCGCAAGCUCGCGAGAGUAAGCUAAUCUCUUAAAGCCGUUCUCAGUUCGGACUGUAGGCUGCAACUCGCCUACACGAAGUCGGAAUCGCUAGUAAUCGCGGAUCAGCAUGCCGCGGUGAAUACGUUCCCGGGCCUUGAAAUCGCCGCCCGUCA